rnacentral:ncRNA from 1 species
UGCAACGGGUAGCGGGGAAUCAGGGUUCGAUUCUGAGAGGAGCUGAGAAACGGCUACCACAUCUAAGGAAGGCAGCAGGCGCGUAAAUUACCCACUCCCAGCUCGGGGAGGUAGUGACGAAAAAUAACAAUACAGGACUCAUAUCCGAGGCCCUGUAAUUGGAAUGAGUAUACUUUUAAUCCUUUAACAAGGACCAAUUGGAGGGCAAGUCUGGUGCCAGCAGCCGCGGUAAUUCCAGCUCCAAUAGCGUAUAUUAAAGUUGUUGCGGUUAAAACGUUCGUAGUUGAACUUGUGCUUCAUACGGGUAGUACAACAUACAUUUGUAGUUAGUACUAUUGUAGUACUUGUACUUUUUUAUUUAUUCCUCCUAUUUAAAAACCUACAUUAGUGCUCUUAAUCGAGUGUUUUUGUGGGCCGGUACAAUUACUUUGAACGAUUUAGAGUGCUUAAAGCAGGCUUCAAAUGCCUGAAUAUUCUGUGCAUGGGAUAAUGAAAUAAGACCUCUGUUCUGCUUUCAUUGGUUUUCAGAUCAAGAGGUAAUGAUUAAUAGAAGCAGUUUGGGGGCAUUAGUAUUACGACGCGAGAGGUGAAAUUCUUGGACCGUCGUAAGACUAACUUAAGCGAAAGCAUUUGCCAAAGAUGUUUUCAUUAAUCAAGAACGAAAGUUAGAGGUACGAAGGCGAUCAGAUACCGCCCUAGUUCUAACCAUAAACGAUGCCAGCUAGCAAUUGGGUGUAGCUACUUUUAUGGCUCUCUCAGUCGCUUCCCGGGAAACCAAAGCUUUUGGGCUCCGGGGGAAGUAUGGUUGCAAAGCUGAAACUUAAAGGAAUUGACGGAAGGGCACCACCAGGAGUGAAGCCUGCGGCUUAAUUUGACUCAACACGGGAAAACUUACCAGGUCCGAACAUAAGUGUGUAAGACAACAUUUAAAAUUUUUCAUAUCAUAUGAAUAUCAUAACGUAUGGGAUUUAUUUAAUAUCGCCCAUAUAUAUGAAAAAAAAAAAAUUUACUCAACAUUCAAAAUUUCUCAUAUCAUAUGAAAAUAUAUCUACCAUAUAUAUAUAUGAAAAAAU